GCAGACACAUUCCAGCCAAUCAGCAGCAGACCCUCCCUCCCAGACCCUUCCACCUCCUGGACAGCUCACUAAGAAUGCAGCUUCACAAUGAAUGUAAAAUGGAUGCUGUCCAGGAAGUGGGAGGGUCUGGGAGGGAGGGUCUGCUGCUGAUUGGCUGGAAUGUGUCUG